rnacentral:tRNA from 1 species
AUUUAUAUAGUUUAAAUAAAACAAUACAUUUUCAUUGUAUAAAUAAUAUACUAUAUUUAUAAAUA